GUGGGGAAUAUUGGACAAUGGGCGCAAGCCUGAUCCAGCCAUACCGCGUGGGUGAAGAAGGCCUUCGGGUUGUAAAGCCCUUUUGUUGGGAAAGAAAAGCAGUCGAUUAAUACUCGGUUGUUCUGACGGUACCCAACGAAUAAGCACCGGCUAACUUCGUGCCAGCAGCCGCGGUAAUACGAAGGGUGCAAGCGUUACUCGGAAUUACUGGGCGUAAAGCGUGCGUAGGUGGUUGUUUAAGUCUGUUGUGAAAGCCCUGGGCUCAACCUGGGAAUUGCAGUGGAUACUGGGCGACUAGAGUGUGGUAGAGGGUAGUGGAAUUCCCGGUGUAGCAGUGAAAUGCGUAGAGAUCGGGAGGAACAUCCAUGGCGAAGGCAGCUACCUGGACCAACACUGACACUGAGGCACGAAAGCGUGGGGAGCAAA
rnacentral:rRNA from 1 species